CGCGGGAUGGAGCAGGCAGGUAGCUCGUUGGGGUCAUAUCCCAAAGGUCGUUGGUUCAAAUCCAACUCCCGCUA
rnacentral:tRNA from 1 species